CCAAAACCCCUCAGCGGAAAAAUGGCCAAAAAACGGGUGGGCUAUAGCCUUGGUGGGGGGCGCGGGCGAAGUUCGUCCGCCGGACUCGGAAUGGGGCGAGACUUUUCGCGGGGCCUCGGGGCGCCAAAAAUAAGCCGCUGGCAAAGCCGCGCCCAAAAAUAAGCGCCCAAAGGUCGUGGUGCCAAAACCCCCCAGCGGAAAAAUGGCCAAAAAACGGGUGGGCUAUAGCCUUGGUGGGCGGCGCGGGCGAAGUUCGUCCGCCGGACUCGGAAUGGGGCGAGACUUUGCGAGGGGCCUCGGGGUGCCCGCGGGAAGUCGCGAGCACAGCCGCGUCCAAAAAUAAGCGCCCGAAGGUCGUGGUGCCAAAACCCCCCAGCGGAAAAAUGGCCAAAAAACGGGUGGGCUAUAGCCUUGGUGGGGGGCGCGGGCGAAGUUCGUCCGCCGGACUCGGAACGGGGCGAGACUUUGCGAGGGGCCUCGGGGUGCCAAAAAUAAGCCGCGGGCAAAGCCGCGCCCAAAAAUAAGCGCCCGAAGGUCGUGGUGCCAAAACCCCCCAGCGGAAAAAUGGCCAAAAAACGGGUGGGCUAUAGCCUUGGUGGGGGGCGCGGGCGAAGUUCGUCCGCCGGACUCGGAAUGGGGCGAGACUUUGCGCAGGGGCUCGGGGCGCCCAAAAUAAGCCGCGGGCAAAGCCGCGCCCAAAAAUAAUCGCCCGAAGGUCGUGGUGCCAAAACCCCCCAGCGGAAAAAUGGCCAAAAAACGGGUGGGCUAUAGCCAUGGUGGGGGGCGCGGGCGAAUUCGUCCGCCGGACUCGGAAUGGGGCGAGACUUUGCGAGGGGCCUCGGGGUGCCAAAAAUAAGCCGCGGGCAAAGCCGCGCCCAAAAAUAAUCGCCCAAAGGUCGUGGUGCCAAAACCCCCCAGCGGAAAAAUGGCCAAAAAAUGGGUGGGCUAUAGCCUUGGUGGGGGGCGCGGGCGAAGUUCGUCCCCCGGACUCGGAAUGGGGCGAGACUUUGCGCGGGGCCUCGGGGUGCCAAAAAUAAGUCGCGGGCAAAGCCGCGCCCAAAAAUAAGCGCCCGAAGGUCGUGGUGCCAAAACCCCCCAGCGGAAAAAUGGCCAAAAAACGGGUGGGCUACAGCCUUGGUGGGGGGCGCGGGCGAAGUUCGUCCGCCGGACUCGGAAUGCGGCGAGACUUUGCGAGGGGCCUCGGGGCACCAAAAAUAAGCCGCGGGCAAAGCCGCGCCCAAAAAUAAGUGCCCGAAGGUCGUGGUGCCAAAACCCCCCAGCGGAAAAAUGGCCAAAAAACGGGUGGGCUAUAGCCUUGGUGGGGGGCGCGGGCGAAGUUCGUCCGCCGGACUCGGAAUGGGGCGAGACAUUGCGAGGGGCCUCGGGGCGCCAAAAAUAAGCCGCGGGCAAAGCCGCGCCCAAAAAUAAGGGCCCGAAGGUCGUGGUGCCAAAACCCCCCAGCGGAAAAAUGGCCAAAAAACGGGUGGGCUAUAGCCUUGGUGGGGGGCGCGGGCGAAGUUCGUCCUCCGGACUCGGAAUGGGGCGAGACUUUGCGCGGGGCCUCGGGGCACCAAAAAUAAGCCGCGGGCAAAGCCGCGCCCAAAAAUAAGCGCCCGAAGGUCGUGGUGCCAAAACCCCCCAGCGGAAAAAUGGCCAAAAAACGGGUGGGCUAUAGCCUUGGUGGGGGGCGCGGGCGAAGUUCGUCCGCCGGACUCGGAAUGGGGUGAGACUUUGCGAGGGGCCUCGAGGUGCCCGCGGGAAGUCGCGGGCACAGCCGCGUCCAGAAAUAAGCGCCCGAAGGUCGUGGUGCCAAAACCCCCCAGCGGAAAAAUGGCCAAAAAACGGGUGGCCUAUAGCCUUGGUGGGGGGCGCGGGCGAAGUUCGUCCGCCGGACUCGGAAUGGGGCGAGACUUUGCGAGGGGCCUCGGGGUGCCAAAAAUAUGCCGCGGGCAAAGCCGCACCCAAAAUAAUCGCCCAAAGGUCGUGGUGCCAAACCCCCCAGCGGAAAAAUGGCCAAAAAACGG
rnacentral:lncRNA from 1 species